CCCACAUCAGAUUUGUGGGUUGUGCUGCUGCAUAAGGUUGGAGGUGUAAUUUUCCCUCCCUGCCACUAGGAGGCGAGUAUGCCUUGAGAUGACUUUCUGUGAGUCAACAUUUCCUGUUGUGAAAGCCAUUACUCACGAGGCAACCGCCAAAUUAGCUGAAAGAUCCUGGAUCUGAAAUCUGUGAAAUACGGCCGUGGGAAGCUGCGUCAGCCGGGCGAGCUAUCUCACCACGAGCUCCGAUUGGUUUUUGACCAGGACUGGAUCAUUUGAGAUCUGAACCCUGUGGGUUCAGUGGCGAGCCAAUCCCAAGAGAGUGACUGUAGACGGACCAGAGUACGGUGUGGCCAGCCGUGGGAUCCAUCUUCAGCGAACCUCAGGACUAUCACUACAUCCCUUGACACAGAUAAGACUGACACUUUAAAAAUCUACCCGGGUAGUGUUAGAACCAGUGGACAGAAACACACACACACAAGGAACUCUAAUUUCUCUUUUCAAAGAGAAGUGGACUGAGCAACAGGAGCGGAAGCUCUUUAAUUGAAACUCUUUGGAGAAUUUCCUUAAAGAGGAUAUUUGGUUUUGAUUUCAUUUUGGGUCCUUUAAUGUGCGUUUGUGCACUGUAGGAAGCCGGCUUUAGACAGGCAGGGUUUGUAAACCUCAUAACUUUUCAAUACAGUUUCUAUUCAAAUCAUAUCUUAUCUAUCCUUGUGUGGUUCCUUCUCUGCUGAUCCUUUCAAGGCUCCAUAGUCUUACCUAGAACUUUCUGAUACUGGUCCAGAGUUGUCAAGACAAUAAUUUAAUACCCAUCUCAUAUUAUUUAAUUGUAAUACCUGUUACAAAAGUGGCGAGCCAGCCAGGAGCCUAGUUAAGUGUCAGCAGUGAAACAUAUCUCAUGUUUGGGGAAUUGUAUAAAAAAAAAAAGUUGUUUAAAUGUUUUAGAGUCGUUGCCAAAGAUGGAGUUCAUAGCUAACUCAGGUAUCAAAGUCCCAAAUGCAGUGAUUGUGAGUGGGUUGCUUGAAUCGCCAGAAGAUGAGGAGAUUAUAGACUUUCUGAAGAAAUAUGGUUCUUUUAGGCUUGUUCCAGUAACUGAUGCUGAAUCAGAGUUUUAUAAAAACCUGAUUAUUGAGUAUCAAGAUGGUGCCGCCAUUGAAGCCUUAUCUCCUCUUUUGCCUUACACACAUGAACUCAAAGAAAACCCA